ACCCCUAAGGCGAGGCCGAAAGGCGUAGUCGAUGGGAAACGGGUUAAUAUUCCCGUACUUGGUGUUACUGCGAAGGGGGGACGGAGAAGGCUAUGUUGGCCGGGCGACGGUUGUCCCGGUUUAAGCGUGUAGGUGUGUGUUCCAGGUAAAUCCGGUUCACUUUAACACUGAGGCGUGACGACGAGGCACUACGGUGCUGAAGCAACAAAUGCCCUGCUUCCAGGAAAAGCCUCUAAGCAUCAGGUAACAUCAAAUCGUACCCCAAACCGACACAGGUGGUCAGGUAGAGAAUACCAAGGCGCUUGAGAGAACUCGGGUGAAGGAACUAGGCAAAAUGGUGCCGUAACUUCGGGAGAAGGCACGCUGACACGUAGGUGAAGUGAUUUACUCAUGGAGCUGAAGUCAGUCGAAGAUACCAGCUGGCUGCAACUGUUUAUUAAAAACACAGCACUGUGCAAACACGAAAGUGGACGUAUACGGUGUGACGCCUGCCCGGUGCCGGAAGGUUAAUUGAUGGGGUCAGCGCAAGCGAAGCUCCUGAUCGAAGCCCCGGUAAACGGCGGCCGUAACUAUAACGGUCCUAAGGUAGCGAAAUUCCUUGUCGGGUAAGUUCCGACCUGCACGAAUGGCGUAAUGAUGGCCAGGCUGUCUCCACCCGAGACUCAGUGAAAUUGAACUCGCUGUGAAGAUGCAGUGUACCCGCGGCAAGACGGAAAGACCCCGUGAACCUUUACUAUAGCUUGACACUGAACAUUGAGCCUUGAUGUGUAGGAUAGGUGGGAGGCUUUGAAGCGUGGACGCCAGUCUGCGUGGAGCCGACCUUGAAAUACCACCCUUUAAUGUUUGAUGUUCUAACGUGGACCCGUGAUCCGGGUUGCGGACAGUGUCUGGUGGGUAGUUUGACUGGGGCGGUCUCCUCCUAAAGAGUAACGGAGGAGCACGAAGGUUGGCUAAUCCUGGUCGGACAUCAGGAGGUUAGUGCAAUGGCAUAAGCCAGCUUGACUGCGAGCGUGACGGCGCGAGCAGGUGCGAAAGCAGGUCAUAGUGAUCCGGUGGUUCUGAAUGGAAGGGCCAUCGCUCAACGGAUAAAAGGUACUCCGGGGAUAACAGGCUGAUACCGCCCAAGAGUUCAUAUCGACGGCGGUGUUUGGCACCUCGAUGUCGGCUCAUCACAUCCUGGGGCUGAAGUAGGUCCCAAGGGUAUGGCUGUUCGCCAUUUAAAGUGGUACGCGAGCUGGGUUUAGAACGUCGUGAGACAGUUCGGUCCCUAUCUGCCGUGGGCGCUGGAGAACUGAGGGGGGCUGCUCCUAGUACGAGAGGACCGGAGUGGACGCAUCACUGGUGUUCGGGUUGUCAUGCCAAUGGCACUGCCCGGUAGCUAAAUGCGGAAGAGAUAAGUGCUGAAAGCAUCUAAGCACGAAACUUGCCCCGAGAUGAGUUCUCCCUGAGACUUAGAGUCUCCUGAAGGAACGUUGAAGACGACGACGUUGAUAGGCCGGGUGUGUAAGCGCAGCGAUGCGUUGAGCUAACCGGUACUAAUGAACCGUGAGGCUUAACCUUACA
rnacentral:rRNA from 1 species